GCACUGCUGAGGAGUGCCAUACUAGCACGAAACGGUCGUCCAGUGC
rnacentral:hammerhead_ribozyme from 1 species